rnacentral:rRNA from 1 species
GAUGAACGCUGACAGAAUGCUUAACACAUGCAAGUCAACUUGAACUUCGGUUUGGGUGGCGGACGGGUGAGUAACGCGUACAGAACUUGCCUCACAGCUAGGGACAACAUUUGGAAACGAAUGCUAAUACCUGAUAUUAUGAUUUUAGGGCAUCCUAGAAUUAUGAAAGCUAUAUGCGCUGUGAGAGAGCUUUGCGUCCCAUUAGCUAGUUGGAGAGGUAACGGCUCACCAAGGCGAUGAUGGGUAGCCGGCCUGAGAGGGUGAACGGCCACAAGGGGACUGAGACACGGCCCUUACUCCUACGGGAGGCAGCAGUGGGGAAUAUUGGACAAUGGACCAAGAGUCUGAUCCAGCAAUUCUGUGUGCACGAUGAAGUUUUUCGGAAUGUAAAGUGCUUUCAGUUGGGAAGAAAAAAAUGACGGUACCAACAGAAGAAGUGACGGCUAAAUACGUG